UUGAACGUCCUUUGGUGUCAACACGGCAGGU
rnacentral:piRNA from 1 species